UACGAAGGGGGCUAGCGUUGCUCGGAAUCACUGGGCGUAAAGGGUGCGUAGGCGGGUUUUUAAGUCAGGGGUGAAAUCCUGGAGCUCAACUCCAGAACUGCCUUUGAUACUGAAGAUCUUGAGUCCGGGAGAGGUGAGUGGAACUGCGAGUGUAGAGGUGAAAUUCGUAGAUAUUCGCAAGAACACCAGUGGCGAAGGCGGCUCACUGGCCCGGUACUGACGCUGAGGCACGAAAGCGUGGGGAGCAAAAGGG
rnacentral:rRNA from 1 species